rnacentral:lncRNA from 1 species
UUUCAUGCAAACAGAUUUGAAAAACAGAAAUAUUACUCUUCACGUAGAGUGACAGUGAUGAUCUUUUUGGCCUUCCAGUUCUGGAUCUCCAUCCCUGGUACGCACGGUUUUAUCCACGAGUCGAGCUCGCAGUCACUGUCAAUCUCUUCACCCACCGCACAGACGUGAUCUGGAUCUAACAUUCCAGCACUGGUAAACGUGAACGGCUG